UAAUAUAUCGGAACGUGUCCUGUAGCGGGGGAUAACCUAUCGAAAGAUGGACUAAUACCGCAUACGCUCUACGGAGGAAAGCGGGGGUUCUUGGGCAACUGAGGACCUCGCACUAUAGGAGCGGCCGAUAUCGGAUUAGCUAGUUGGCGGGGUAAAAGCCCACCAAGGCGACGAUCCGUAGCUGGUCUGAGAGGAUGAUCAGCCGGACUGGGACUGAGAUACGGCCCAG
rnacentral:rRNA from 1 species